rnacentral:rRNA from 1 species
UACGUAGGGUGCGAGCGUUAAUCGGAAUUACUGGGCGUAAAGGGCUCGUAGGCGGCCAACUAAGUCAGACGUGAAAUCCCCUCGGCUUAACCGGGGAACUGCGUCUGAUACUGGAUGGCUUGAAUCCGGGAGAGGGAUGCGGAAUUCCAGGUGUAGCGGUGAAAUGCGUAGAUAUCUGGAGGAACACCGGUGGCGAAGGCGGCAUCCUGGGACCGGCAUUGACGCUGAGGAGCGAAAGCCAGGGGAGCAAACGGG